UCCCUGGUGUCUCAGUGAUAAAGAAUCUGCCUGCAGUGCAGAAGACACAGGUUCGAUCCCUGGGUUGGGAA
rnacentral:tRNA from 1 species